UGCGCAGACAGAGUGUGCGAGCGGCGGGCCUUGACCUUUCGGGAAAAAAACUCACGGACGGUGACAGCGAAACGGAUAACAGUCUUCAGUACCUGCUGGACUUUGAAGCUGUGGAUUCUGGGACUGUUAGAAAAGAGGCAGCGGCGAGAGGGGAGACCUCGGCUCAUCCAGCUGGAGAGCCUGACCAGGAGGAGUCGAACAUUAACUCAGCUCUUCCAGGGCACCCUGCAGACUCGGCUGCUGGCAUCGGCGAGGGAUGACGUGAACGCCAAACUGGAGUCCAUCACAGGUCAACUGCAGCUCCUUGUCUCAGAGUGGGAGGGAUUUGAAGCACAAAGGGAGGAGCUUGUCGUUUGGUUGGCUGAUAUGGAUGUCCGCCUGAGAGGUUGACCAGCUGACAGGAAACACCAGUGAAAAACUGAAACAACUGCAGGUGUGGGCUUGUUUUGAUAUGACAUAUGUUUGAUAUGAAAC
ensembl:lncRNA